rnacentral:lncRNA from 1 species
AUGUCUCCUCUCCACUGGUGUCUCCUCUCCUCCGGUGUCUCUCCUCUCCUCCCGUGUCUCUCCUCUCCUGUGUCUCUCCUUUCCUGUGUCUCUCCUUUCCUGUGUCUCUCCUCUCCUCCUGUGUCUCUCCUUUCCUCCUGUGUCUCUCCUCUCCUCCUGUGUCUCUCCUCUCCUCCGGUGUCUCUCCUCUCCUCCUGUGUCUCUCCUUUCCUGUGUCUCUCCUCUCCUCCUGUGUCUCUCCUCUCCUCCUGUGUCUCUCCUCUCCUCCUGUGUCUCUCCUCUCCUCCUGUGUCUCUCCUCUCCUCCUGUGUCUCUCCUCUCCUCAUGUGUCUCUCCUCUCCUCCUGUGUCUCUCCUCUCCUCCUGUGUCUCUCCUCUCCUCUGGUGUCUCUCCUCUCCUCUGGUGUCUCUCCUCUCCUCCGGUGUCUCUCCUCUCCUCAUGUGUCUCUCCUCUCCUCAUGUGUCUCUCCUCUCCUCAUGUGUCUCUCCUCUCCUCAUGUGUCUCUCCUCUCCUCCUGUGUCUCUCCUCUCCUCCUGUGUCUCUCCUCUCCUCCUGUGUCUCUCCUCUCCUCCGGUGUCUCUCCUCCUGUGUCUCUCCUCUCCUCAUGUGUCUCUCCUCUCCUCCUGUGUCUCUCCUCUCCUCCUGUGUCUCUCCUCUCCUCCUGUGUCUCUCCUCUCCUCCUGUGUCUCUCCUCUCCUCAUGUGUCUCUCCUCUCCUCCUGUGUCUCUCCUCUCCUCCUGUGUCUCUCCUCUGGUGUCUCUCCUCUCCUCUGGUGUCUCUCCUCUCCUCCGGUGUCUCUCCUCUCCUCAUGUGUCUCUCCUCUCCUCAUGUGUCUCUCCUCUCCUCAUGUGUCUCUCCUCUCCUCAUGUGUCUCUCCUCUCCUCCUGUGUCUCUCCUCUCCUCCUGUGUCUCUCCUCUCCUCCUGUGUCUCUCCUCUCCUCCGGUGUCUCUCCUCCUGUGUCUCUCCUCUCCUCAUGUGUCUCUCCUCUCCUCCUGUGUCUCUCCUCUCCUCUGGUGUCUCUCCUCUCCUCUGGUGUCUCUCCUCUCCUCCGGUGUCUCUCCUCUCCUCAUGUGUCUCUCCUCUCCUCAUGUGUCUCUCCUCUCCUCCUGUGUCUCUCCUCUCCUCCUGUGUCUCUCCUCUCCUCCUGUGUCUCUCCUCUCCUCCGGUGUCUCUCCUCUCCUCCUGUGUCUCUCCUCUCCUCCUGUGUCUCUCCUCUCCUCCGGUGUCUCUCCUCCUGUGUCUCUCCUCUCCUCCUGUGUCUCUCCUCUCCUCCGGUGUCUCUCCUCUCCUCAUGUGUCUCUCCUCUCCUCCUGUGUCUCUCCUCUCCUCCUGUGUCUCUCCUCUCCUCCUGUGUCUCUCCUCUCCUCCGGUGUCUCUCCUCCUGUGUCUCUCCUCUCCUCCUGUGUCUCUCCUCCCCUCCGGUGUCUCUCCUCCUGUGUCUCUCCUCUCCUCCUGUGUCUCUCCUCUCCUCCUGUGUCUCUCCUCUCCUCCGGUGUCUCUCCUCUCCUCCGGUGUCUCUCCUCUCCUCCUGUGUCUCUCCUCUCCUCCGGUGUCUCUCCUCCUGUGUCUCUCCUCUCCUCCUGUGUCUCUCCUCUCCUCCGGUGUCUCUCCUCCUGUGUCUCUCCUCUCCUCCUGUGUCUCUCUUCUCCUCCUGUGUCUCUCCUCUCCUCCUGUGUCUCUCCUCUCCUCCGGUGUCUCUCCUCUCCUCCUGUGUCUCUCCUCUCCUCCGGUGUCUCUCCUCCUGUGUCUCUCCUCUCCUCCUGUGUCUCUCCUCUCCUCCUGUGUCUCUCCUCUCCUCCUGUGUCUCUCCUCCUCUUUUUGUCUGUAAUGUAUUUUUCGUUAUGUGUCGGACCCCCCAGGAAGACUAG